UACGUAGGGAGCGAGCGUUGUCCGGAAUGACUGGGCGUAAAGGGCGCGUAGGCGGCGGGGUAAGUUUGGAGUGAAAGUCCCGUUUUCAAGAUGGGAAUUGCUUUGAAGACUGCCUGGCUUGUGUGAUGGAGAGGAUAGCAGAAUUCCCGGUGUAGCGGUGAACUGCGUAGAGAUCGGGAGGAACACCAGUGGCGAAGGCGGCUAUCUGGACAUAAACUGACGCUGAGGCGCGAAAGCGUGGGUAGCAAAC
rnacentral:rRNA from 1 species